ensembl:lncRNA
CCGGGAUGGGCUCGGGUGCGGGGAACGCCAGGCCCACGCUCCUGGCGCGUUGCCGGCGCAGAGACGCCACCACCGCCCGCCAGUGCCCCGGGGGCUCCCACCCUCUCGAAACUCCGCCGGCUUCCCAGGGCGGCCCUGGCGGUGGCCCCGCGGGAUGGAGGCGCGCUCCUCGCCUCGGGCCUCCCGGGAGUUGGUGAGGCGGCGGCCGCGCCCUCGGGCUGGGGGCAGAGGGUCGUGGGCUCGCGAGGGGAGAGCUGGAGCCUUCGCUUCGCAGGGGGCCGUGGGGGUCGAGCGCAGGGGCCGAUGAUACCGUGGGGAAUGAAUGAAGGACCCCGCCGAGGAACUCGGACUCGCUGGGGUUGGGGGGAAGCUGGGAGCCCGCGCUCCAGGUAGGGGUCAGGCCCGCGGACUCGAUGGGCCGGGCUGCCCGGGCCACAGCGUCACCCCCGCAGCCUCAGGCUCCGCUCUGCAGUGGGACCCGGGAGCGCCGCCCGUGAUCCCCGGGGGCGGGGGCGCUGGGAGGGGCUCAGGGAAGUGCCGUCCAUUCCCACCUCGCGCCAAGGGCGACGCUGCUCCUCCCCAGGAUGACUGACCUGCUCCGGAGCCUGCCUGGCCCGGGUCUGGCCACACCCUCUGGGAAGGAAAGGUCCCUGCCGCCCGGCCCCCUUGGAGGGGAAACGCCGCAGGGCGGCCUGGCUGCUGGGUCCCACAGGCCUGGGUUUGGGGCCAGCGUCGCACCGAGCUGCCAGGUAGCUUAAGGGCCAGUCACGGCUCAUGAGUCUGGUGGUGGCUAGGGGGCGGUCGGCCGGAGAGGCGGUGCGGAGGGAGAGAGUGGGCUGCGAAGGAUGCGGCCCCAGCCCGGGCGGUGGACCCCUCGGCGGCCUGGGGGAGGGGGCCGUGUUCCCUGGAGGCGUGUCCAGCUGCCAGAGGGCUCCUUCCCCCUUUUACCCAGCAACCCCCGCUGCAACCGCCGCUGGGCCGGGUCGGGUGCUCCAGGCUCUGAGGGGCCCAGAAGGUUUGGGCCGCGGUCCUGCCGCCGCCCUCAGGCCGCCAGCGGCGCUCUGCGGUGGUUCCCUUCCACCAUGCUCCUGGGCGGUCCACGCCACCCCCCAGCAGCCCAGGGACAGCGCCCUCCGCGCCUCCCCGCGCUGGGGCUCAGGUGAGGGGUCCCGGGCUUCCCCAGUCUGUGGCUUGGCAUCAUUUUGUACAGUGUGAACAUGUAUGCAUCGCAGAUCGAUGACAAUAAACUUUUGUCCUAAAGCGUCCCCGUGUCCGGCCGUCCUCUCUCCCCCGCUGCUCACUCAUCUCAGCCUCCCCGUCUUCCUUCCGACCCCGGAGGAGGAGGAAGGGGGACAGUCCCCUUGGGCCUGGCUGCCAGCCUCUCCUUGCCUCAGACACUGCUGUCUCAUCCAGCCCCUCUUGGGGGGGCGGGGAGAAGGGCCACC